rnacentral:rRNA from 1 species
AACGAACGCUGGCGGCAUGCCUAACACAUGCAAGUCGAACGAGACCUUCGGGUCUAGUGGCGCACGGGUGCGUAACGCGUGGGAACCUUCCCUUAGGUUCGGAAUAACUCCCCGAAAGGGGUGCUAAUACCGGAUAAUGUCUUCGGACCAAAGAUUUAUCGCCUUUGGAUGGGCCCGCGUUGGAUUAGCUAGUUGGUAGGGUAAAAGCCUACCAAGGCGACGAUCCAUAGCUGGUCUGAGAGGAUGAUCAGCCACACUGGGACUGAGACACGGCCCAGACUCCUACGGGAGGGAGCAGUGGGGAAUAUUGGACAAUGGGCGAAAGCCUGAUCAAGCAAUGCCGCGUGAGUGAUGAAGGCAUUAGGGUUGUAAAGCUCUUUUACCCGGGAUGAUAAUGACAGUACCGGGAGAAUAAGCACCGGCUAACUCCGUG